rnacentral:rRNA from 1 species
AUUGAACGCUGGCGGCAGGCUUAACACAUGCAAGUCGAGCGGGGUGAUGGUGCUUGCACUAUCACUUAGCGGCGGACGGGUGAGUAAUGCUUAGGAAUCUGCCUAUUAGUGGGGGACAACAUCUCGAAAGGGAUGCUAAUACCGCAUACGUCCUACGGGAGAAAGCAGGGGAUCACUUGUGACCUUGCGCUAAUAGAUGAGCCUAAGUCGGAUUAGCUAGGUGGUGGGGUAAAGGCCUACCAAGGCGACGAUCUGUAGCGGGUCUGAGAGGAUGAUCCGCCACACUGGGACUGGAACACGGCCCAGACUCCUACGGGAGGCAGCAGUGGGGAAUAUUGGACAAUGGGGGGAACCCUGAUCCAGCCAUGCCGCGUGUGUGAAGAAGGCCUUAUGGUUGUAAAGCACUUUAAGCGAGGAGGAGGCUUACCUAGUUAAUACCUGGGAUAAGUGGACGUUACUCGCAGAAUAAGCACCGGCUAACUCUGUGCCAGCCGCCGCAGUAA